GUCUGUUUGAAGGUAUAAAAAGUUUAACCUGCCCACUGAUAAAUUUUUUAAAGGGCCGCGGUAUUCUGACUGUGCAAAGGUAGCAUAAUCGUUAGUUUUUUAAUUGGAAUCUUGUAUGAAUGGUUUGACAAAAGAAAAUCUGUCUUUAUAAUUAUUUAUUGAAUUUAACUUUUAAGUGAAAAGGCUUAAAUAAAUUAAAAAGACGAUAAGACCCUAUAAAGCUUAAUAUUAAAUUUUUAUUUAAUUAAAUUUUAAAUUAUAAUAAAGAUUUGGUAAAUAAAUUUUAUUUUGUUGGGGUGAUAAUGGUAAAAUGAUUAUUAACUGUUAAUUUUUUUAGACAAAAAUAAAUGAAUAAAUAAUUUGUUGUAAAGGAUCCUGUAUUAAAGAUUAAAAGUUUAAGUUACUUUAGGGAUAACAGCGUUAUUUUUUUUGAGAGUUCUUAUCGAGAAAAAAGUUUGCGACCUCGAUGUUGAAUUAAAAUAUCUAUAUAAUUGUAGCAGUUAUAUAAGAAGGUCUGUUCGACCUUUAAAAUUUUACAUGAUUUGAGUUCAGACCGGCGUAAGCCAGGUCGGUUUCUAUCUUUUAAUAUUUAAAAAAUUAUUUUAGUACGAAAGGAUUAGAUAAUUAAAAUUAUUUUUAAUAAUUGAAUGAAAAG
rnacentral:rRNA from 1 species